UAGACUCCUCCCUCUGAGACUCUGAUUGGUCCAGCUGAGAGUUGAGAGCUCAGAGGUUCAGAUGUUUUCUCUCCUCUGUACCAGAAGUAUUUCCAACCAGAUGAUGAUGGCUUCACAGAGCAGAAGAGGAAGAGGCAUUGCGUCUCUCAAAGAUGGCCGUUGGUCGCCUUCGAUACCUGUCCUGCUUCUUUACAUGCAGUGCUAUUCUGCUGCUUGUGGUCUCCAUCAAUGAUGUGGAGGCUUCCAGCUGUCCACGUGUCAUCCAUAAAAAAGUUGGAGACACUGUGGAGCUUCCGUCAUGCUUACCAACUGACAGGGCCACUGACAGGGUCACAAUGGCAAUAUGGAAAUACGGAAAGAAAAAACUUACAGACAAAAAUAAGAUUUUUCAUGAAAAUCAGUUUAAGGGCAGAUUAGAGCUAAACCACCAAAACUUUAGUUUAACAGUGAAACGACUGACUCUCCAAGAUUCUGGUAACUUCAGUUUUCUCUCAGAUGUGAAUGACAAACAAAGGGAAGUAGUCAUCAUCUCUCUGCAAGUUCAUGAGCCCAUCACUAAACAGCCCACUCUGACUUACAAUUCCACCUGGCACACAUCGAAUGAAUCCUGCACAGUUUUUCUCAAGUGCAGAGCGGCUUCUGACAGCAGCGUCGACUACAAGUGGACCGUGAGGAAAAAAACCAGAAGUGGGUCUGUGCUGCAGUACAUCAUCAGUGUGCAGGACGGAGACACCGACUUCACCUGCACAAUAUACAACAUUGUCAGUGAGAUGUCCAUGUCCCAGACUUUGACGUGCAGUAACGCUCUACAAGGGUCCAGACCACUCAUUGUCGGGCUGGUUGUUGGAAUGUUGCUGAUUAUUGUACUGCUACUCUCUCUGCUUUGCUACACAAAGUCAAUAGGCUGCUGUUGUAACAGGCUCAUCCAGCCUCCAACCCAGGUCAACCCAGAUGAAGCUCAAGAGCGAGUGUACUCCUCUCUCCUCCACGGUGAUGGUUGUGUCUAUGAGACAAUAAGAGGUCCGGAAGAUCCUGGAGCAGGCGAACGACCAAAUUCAUACAUUAAUGUCACAUCUGCAGGAGUUCAUGGAGUGUGUUCCCUUCUGCCUCAAGACAGCCAUCAAUUCUGCUGUGUCUAGUCCCUGUGGCUCUUACCACCAUUCUGAUGAAGUGCUUUGAGAAACUGGUACAUCCAGCACAUCCAGCCUGGACCCUAACCGGUUACUAUUCAAUUCAAUCUCACCCACGAAGCUGACUGGAAUACUGAACACUCUGGGUUACUCUGAGUACCACAAUCUCCGACUGGAUAUUGGACUCCUCCACAAGCAGACUCCAGAGAGUACAUAUAGGCAGCCACACCUCUACUACAUUAGUGCUCAAUACUGGAGACCCCCAGGGCUGUGUUCUCAGACCCCUCCUAUUCAGACUGUACACCCAUGACUGCACUCCCAGACAUCAAAAUAACUCUAUUGUGAAGUUUGCGGAUGACACCACCAUCUUCGGCCACACUACAAGCUAUGAUGAGGGUUCACGUGGGAGGAAAUAAACAAUCUUGCAGAGUGGGGCGCAGAGAACAAAACAACUGUUCAACAUCAGCAAGACCGACGAGCUGAUUGUUGAUUUUAGAAAAGCGGGAGGCAAAGACACACACCCCUGUCUACAUCGGUAGAGCAGGUGAACAGUUAAAGCUGCCUUGGAAAUACCAUCACUGAGAACUUCUCUUGGCCUUGACACAUCACUGCCCUGGUAACUAAGGACAGCUGAAUUCCAGAGCAAGAUUCAGGUCAACUGUUACAGAGGAGCACCCUGACUGGAAACAUCACAAACUGGUAUGGGUUGUGCACUGCUAAGGACAGGAGAUGUCUGCCCUGCACCCAAUGGAUAUUACAACACAACUCACACACCGGCCACAGUCUGUUUAGCCCAUCGCCAUCUGACUAAAGAUAAGUGUCUACAGACCACAGUGAUGCACCCUUUAGCAUCAAGAUAAAUGGUGAACCACUGUUUAUCUUGC